rnacentral:rRNA from 1 species
AUUGAACGCUGGCGGCAGGCCUAACACAUGCAAGUCGAGCGGAUGAGUGGAGCUUGCUCCACGAUUCAGCGGCGGACGGGUGAGUAAUGCCUAGGAAUCUGCCUGGUAGUGGGGGACAACGUUUCGAAAGGAACGCUAAUACCGCAUACGUCCUACGGGAGAAAGCAGGGGACCUUCGGGCCUUGCGCUAUCAGAUGAGCCUAGGUCGGAUUAGCUAGUAGGUGAGGUAAAGGCUCACCUAGGCGACGAUCCGUAACUGGUCUGAGAGGAUGAUCAGUCACACUGGAACUGAGACACGGACCAGACUCCUACGGGAGGCAGCAGUGGGGAAUAUUGGACAAUGGGCGAAAGCCUGAUCCAGCAAUGCCGCGUGUGUGAAGAAGGUCUUCGGAUUGUAAAGCACUUUAAGUUGGGAGGAAGGGCAGUAAGUUAAUACCUUGCUGUUUUGACGUUACCAACAGAAUAAGCACCGGCUAACUUCGUGCCAGCCGCCGCCGUAACAC